GAGCGGACGUAGAGGCUGAGGCUCCGUGCUGAGUGCAGGUUCAGAUGUCGACCAUCACUCCCGAUAAAGCGCCUCAUCUGUCAAAGGUUUGGAUCGCACUGAGGCGGUUCGACAGAAACGAUGAAAGAGUGGUGGCUCUUCGAGAAGUGUCCUUUCCUUCAGCCACUGAUACCACCAUGAUCAUACAGAUUCUCACCAAUACCUUUGGGCUGAACACUUCUAAUGUUGUAUUCAAGAUAAGGAACCACCGUGGCUGUCUGAUCCCCCUGAACAGCUCCAUCCCUGCUAACAGCAAGCAUGUACCUUACGUGCUUGAGGUAGCCAAGAUUUUUCAGCAUGAUUAAUACAGAAGACAUCAAAACUAUGAAUAAACACAUAUGGAAUUAUGUAGUAAACAAAAAAGUCUGGCUUCCAUGGUCACCUAACUUAAACCUAAAGGCAGAAAGGCCAACAAGUGCUCAGCAUCUCUGGGAACUCCUUCAAGACUGUUGGAAAACCAUUUCAG
ensembl:lncRNA